AUUCAACAGUUAGAGGUACAGCCAAUGAAGGAGGAGAUGCCAACCCCAAACCUUGGUUUCCAAGCCUGCCUUCUCAUGUGCUGUAAAUAAGACAAAGGACUUGGAGUUGGAAGUUUUCUGCUACACUUAUAUAGGAUGCACAGAGAGCAAAUUCCGAAGGAGACAAUCACAGAUGUCCUCAGUACGGAAGACUAAAUUUGGCUUAAGUUCCAGGAUUAAUGACUGUGCAGUUAGUUAUUGUUAAAAUGGGAUUGACUGCCAAGUUUGUUAAAAAGUGUCAGUAAUUAAGCUUCAAAAUAUUUUCUUCUUAUGUAAGCUAAUGUAGUCAUAUCUUUGAAGUCAUCACGCACCAUGAUUUGAUUGGUACAGCCCAGAUUUAACACGCAUCUUUGGCUAUUCUUUCCAAAUAAUUAAAAUGUCUUAGCAUUUUCAUUUGAUCAGCUAAAUUUUUAGUUACUGGGAAAAAAUUAGAUAUUCUGAUGCCAUGUAGAAGAAGCUUAUGUAUAACAGAAACAAAUAAUUCAGUGUAAUGACUGUUCUUAGUGAUGAACAGUGCUUGGAGAGGAGCUAAGGCCCGCAACACAAAGCUACGCUUUUGAUUACUAAUGAGUGUCCUUCACGAUAGCAUAACGAAACAAAUGGGACUCAAAGUUACUCAGAGAAACCCUUCUUUGAGGGGUGGAAAGAGAGGAAUGUGUUACAGCUGAAUGAGAGGCUGACAGAAGAGAAAUUUGCAAAAUGAAGAAAAAGUCCCUCACUUUUAAACACUUUCUUUUUUUUUGGACUAGAAAUUAAAUAGGAGAUGAGUGCGUACAACUGUUAACACACAGUCAGGUUGGGAUAUGCAGGAGAAAACCUCAGAAAGUUUUGUUAGCCGCAUCAGGAUUGAACUCAUUUGAGUGAAGACUGUAAUGAUGGUAGAAACUGAAAAUCCUUUCCUUUUUACCCUCUCUGCUCACAUGAGGAAGGCGAGACACUUGCUUAAAAUACACUAUACCUAAACAGGGGUAUUUGGAAUUAUCAGCUUAAAGCUAAACAGACUCUGCAGAUUUUUUUUUUAUUUUUUUUUGGUGGUGGUGGGUGGGGAGGGAGGGGUAAUGGUGUUGUUCAUUGGUGAUUGUUUUUGGAAAUCUGGGUAAUUUUAUGACUGACCUAUGUAAAGGUAAGACUCAUGUCCCUGGUCCAACACUCAGACAUAUGGUGGUUUAAUAUCUCCCAUGGGUCAGCUGAAACUGUUUAGUGAACCACUCAUCUUCUGACUUGAGUUUUAUAGCCAGGUUUCUUUUCCUGCUAAAACUUUGAUGAACUUCCCUUGAACAGCUGCAUGUAAGAAGUAUUUGAUGGAAGGCUUAAUUUCAACCUGAUAUAAAAGGCUUCAAACUAGCUAUCCAGAACUAAGGUCUUGCUAAUUGCCCUAUAGCUUCUUCUUAAUGUCUGCAAAUAAAACAGUUAUACAGAUUCCA
rnacentral:lncRNA from 1 species